rnacentral:tRNA from 1 species
GGUGGCUUAGUGGUGAAGUACUUGCCUAGCAUGCAUGAGGCCCUGGGUUCGAUUCCUCAGCACCA